rfam:Coccidioides posadasii str. Silveira unplaced genomic scaffold supercont2.24, whole genome shotgun sequence.
GGUCCUAUGGUCUAGUGGUUAUGACUCCGGAUUUUGAUAUACUCAAGAAUUCCGGCAUCCUGGGUUCGAAUCCCAGUAGGACCU